UGAGCAAUCUGCCCUUCUCAUCGGAAUAAGCGUUGGAAACAACGUCUAAUGCCGAAUACGACCUCCUUUCGCAUGAUCGGAGGUGGAAAGCUCCGGCGGAGAAGGAUGAGCUCGCGGCCUAUCAGCUAGUUGGUGAGGGUAAUGGCCCACCAAGGCGACUACGGGUAGCCCGGCCUGAGGAGGGUGACCGGCCACACUGGGACUGAGACACGGCCCAGACCUCCGUACGGGAGCAG
rnacentral:rRNA from 1 species